AUGUGGCUCCUGGGCGGCCAGAUGUGUGUGUUCCCGGGGCCGGCGAGUCUGGGCGGGCGCGUAGGAGGGGCUGCAUUUUUUCCCCCAGAGCACACUUAAAAGCCAGCGGAACCUCAAGCCCCCUGGGCUCCAGGCCUGGCUAACCAGCUCGUAACGGAGAAGUUUCCAGCCCCGCCUGUGCCCGGCCGCCGAGCAGCCCUUGGGACUUCUUGAACCGGCAGAGAAAAUAGGGCAGCUCUGCAGGAUCCCCCAAAUGGCCGCUACCGAACCCAGUUCUUGGAAGAUGGCCAACAGUCUGUCUGGUGGAGGGUGCUGCUAAUUAGAGAGAGCCCAUAAACCUCUCUGUCAAAGAGGGCAUCAUCUCAGGACAUCACAAAAUAGAGUUCCCUAAGUAUUCCUUUCUUUGUCUAAUAUACCUCCCUGGGAGCACCCUUGCUUGCUUUAAUUUUAUACAACACAUUGUAAACUAUAAAUAAUACAGUUCCACUUUCCUAGAACAUAUGGAAAGUGUC